AUUGAACGCUGGCGGAAUGCUUUACACAUGCAAGUCGAACGGCAGCACGGGGCAACCUGGUGGCGAGUGGCGAACGGGUGAGUAAUACAUCGGAACGUGCCCAAUCGUGGGGGGAUAACGUAGCGAAAGUUACGCUAAUACCGCAUACGAUCUACGGAUGAAAGCGGGGGAUCGCAAGACCUCGCGCGAAUGGAGCGGCCGAUGUCAGAUUAGGUAGUUGGUGGGGUAAAGGCUCACCAAGCCAACGAUCUGUAGCUGGUCUGAGAGGACGACCAGCCACACUGGAACUGAGACACGGUCCAGACUCCUGCGGGAGGCAGCAGUGGGGAAUUUUGGACAAUGGGCGCAAGCCUGAUCCAGCCAUUCCGCGUGCAGGAUGAAGGCC
rnacentral:rRNA from 1 species